GAUGAACGCUGGCGGCGUGCCUAAUACAUGCAAGUCGAGCGAACGGACGAGAAGCUUGCUUCUCUGAUGUUAGCGGCGGACGGGUGAGUAACACGUGGAUAACCUACCUAUAAGACUGGGAUAACUUCGGGAAACCGUAGCUAAUACCGGAUAAUAUUUUGAACCGCAUGGUUCAAAAGUGAAAGACGGUCUUGCUGUCACUUAUAGAUGGAUCCGCGCUGCAUUAGCUAGUUGGUAAGGUAACGGCUUACCAAGGCAACGAUGCAUAGCCGACCUGAGAGGGUGAUCGGCCACACUGGAACUGAGACACGGUCCAGACUCCUACGGGAGGCAGCAGUAGGGAAUCUUCCGCAAUGGGCGAAAGCCUGACGGAGCAACGCCGCGUGAGUGAUGAAGGUCUUCGGAUCGUAAAACUCUGUUAUUAGGGAAGAACAUAUGUGUAAGUAACUGUGCACAUCUUGACGGUACCUAAUCAGAAAGCCACGGCUAACUACGUGCCAGCAGCCGCGGUAAUACGUAGGUGGCAAGCGUUAUCCGGAAUUAUUGGGCGUAAAGCGCGCGUAGGCGGUUUUUUAAGUCUGAUGUGAAAGCCCACGGCUCAACCGUGGAGGGUCAUUGGAAACUGGAAAACUUGAGUGCAGAAGAGGAAAGUGGAAUUCCAUGUGUAGCGGUGAAAUGCGCAGAGAUAUGGAGGAACACCAGUGGCGAAGGCGACUUUCUGGUCUGUAACUGACGCUGAUGUGCGAAAGCGUGGGGAUCAAACAGGAUUAGAUACCCUGGUAGUCCACGCCGUAAACGAUGAGUGCUAAGUGUUAGGGGGUUUCCGCCCCUUAGUGCUGCAGCUAACGCAUUAAGCACUCCGCCUGGGGAGUACGACCGCAAGGUUGAAACUCAAAGGAAUUGACGGGGACCCGCACAAGCGGUGGAGCAUGUGGUUUAAUUCGAAGCAACGCGAAGAACCUUACCAAAUCUUGACAUCCUUCGACAACUCUAGAGAUAGAGCCUUCCCCUUCGGGGGACAAAGUGACAGGUGGUGCAUGGUUGUCGUCAGCUCGUGUCGUGAGAUGUUGGGUUAAGUCCCGCAACGAGCGCAACCCUUAAGCUUAGUUGCCAUCAUUAAGUUGGGCACUCUAAGUUGACUGCCGGUGACAAACCGGAGGAAGGUGGGGAUGACGUCAAAUCAUCAUGCCCCUUAUGAUUUGGGCUACACACGUGCUACAAUGGACAAUACAAAGGGCAGCGAAACCGCGAGGUCAAGCAAAUCCCAUAAAGUUGUUCUCAGUUCGGAUUGUAGUCUGCAACUCGACUACAUGAAGCUGGAAUCGCUAGUAAUCGUAGAUCAGCAUGCUACGGUGAAUACGUUCCCGGGUCU
rnacentral:rRNA from 1 species